CGGCGGACGGGUGAGUAAUGCCUAGGAAUCUGCCUGGUAGUGGGGGACAACGUUUCGAAAGGAACGCUAAUACCGCAUACGUCCUACGGGAGAAAGCAGGGGACCUUCGGGCCUUGCGCUAUCAGAUGAGCCUAGGUCGGAUUAGCUAGUUGGUGAGGUAAUGGCUCACCAAGGCGACGAUCCGUAACUGGUCUUAGAGGAUUAUCAGUCACACUGGAACUGAGACACGGUCCAG
rnacentral:rRNA from 1 species